UACGGAAGGGGCUAGCGUUGUUCGGAGUUACUGGGCGUAAAGCGCGCGCAGGCGGUUGAUCGAGUGAGGCGUGAAAGGCCCGAGCUCAACUUGGGAACGGCGUUUCAUACUGAUCGGCUGGAGUCCGGGAGAGGGUGGUGGAAUUCCGAGUGUAGAGGUGAAAUUCGUAGAUAUUCGGAGGAACACCGGUGGCGAAGGCGGCCACCUGGCCCGGUACUGACGCUAUAGCGCGAAAGCGUGGGGAGCAAACAGG
rnacentral:rRNA from 1 species